GACGAACCGUGCAAACGUUAUUCGGAUUCACUGGGCUUAAAGGGCGCGUAGGCGGGCCAUCCAGUCAGGGGUGAAAUCUUUCGGCUCAACCGGGAAAGUGCCUUUGAUACUGAUGGCCUCGAGGGAGGUAGGGGCAUGCGGAACUUCCGGUGGAGCGGUGAAAUGCGUAGAUAUCGGAAGGAACGCCGGUGGCGAAGGCAGCUCGCUGGGACGUGACUGACGCUGAGACGCGAAAGCGUGGGGAGCAAACAGG
rnacentral:rRNA from 1 species